rnacentral:lncRNA from 1 species
AUUUAUUUAAGAUAGCCCUCCAGGUCUAAUACUUAAAAUGCCAUCCAGUUACAGAAAUUGUUCAAAAGGAACUUCAGUUACACGUCUGUAGACUCUAAUAACUGAUCUUUACGUUUUCUUGAAGAUUUGAGUUCCAUAGAAAGAACCGGUCAAGUUACUGCGCUUUACCUAAUGCUGUUGCUCAAAACAUAUCGGAGUGGUACUUCAACAACAGAUCUUCAGGUAUUAUUAGAAAUGCAAAUUUACCUACAGUAAAGAGAAGCUUAGAAAAAUCAAGGAAUUGCUAGAAGAUGUAAUUAGGAGCAAUAUUACUCUGUACUACAGUUAACUUUGUUCCAUUGCCAGUUAGAGACUGAAACAACAGAGUAACAUUUCAGCUUAGAAAUUAAGCUGCUAAUGUAAACUAUCUGGAAAAGUCUAAAGUUACUGACCCCAGCUUGAAAUCCCAAAUUAAACUAAUUGCAUUUCUAUGCUCGACUCAAAAGGGAUUGCUUAUCCUGAGGAGUAAAGCCAAUCCCAAUUUUCCUGCAGUUUCUUUUUUAAGCUGCUGAGCUUAACAGCCUCCAACUUACAGAGUACAAGAGGCAAACAGAGCACAGGGAGAUACCAGUUUUAAUUACCAUACCUUUCACCAGUUCAUUUAUGAGUGUACGUAGGUAGUUGGUUUGUUUCUUUUUCCCUUCACACACUUGAACCACAUCUGCAAGGUCCUGACGCACAUCCUGAAGCAGCUUAGCUCCCAUUUUCACCUCUCUCUCAAAGAACCGGAACAAAGGAUCCUUAAUGUUUUCCACAGUUCGCUUCAGAUGAUUUAGAGUUUGUGGGAUAAGGUGAAGCCAGUUAGAAGCUGUGGUAUGCAGUGUUCUCAUCCAGGCUGGGCGACCAUCUGAUGUAGAAUCAGUUCUUGUCUUCUUCUCAGUUUCUGCAUAAGCUAGAUCAUCUUCAUCCUCCAGCAUCUGCAUUUUCAGCAUUUUACUGAUCAUAUCUAUGCCUUGCGUGGUGAGAAGAACUUUUUCUGCGUUAUUUGGCAGGCCUAGCCAUGAUGGCGUUUGAGUAUCUGGCAGCAUCUCAACCCACUGGACAAAUUCUUCACGUCUGAUCCCAUCUGGCAUCUGAAUAUCUUUGUGUCCAUCAACUUUGCAAGCCAGUUUGAAUUCGCUGUCAAAACUCAGAGUAGUAAACAGACGUUCCAAGAAAGUGUUUAACAAACGCUGAUCAAAUUCGUUAUCGAUGCGGCCUCCAUAGAUGGAUUGUGCCAUCAGUGUCUUUAAGGCAGACCAGGGGAUUUUAUCAGGUGAAAUGUUCUGGCGGCCCUUUGCUGUGUCAUCCAGCCACGUAUCUACUGUGUCACAGGCAGAUCUCAGAUCAGAUUCUCCAAAUUCAUACUUCUUGGACCAACCCAAUGGAGCAUAGCGCAAACGCUCUUGGAUAAUGGCAUGGAACCAGGCAAGCAGGAAAUAUAAACGAGCACGUUCAUUUGGAGACUUGCACAUUCUAGAUACUGGAAUGCUACUGAAAGUCCUCAGCAUGUUUGCCUUCACGCCAGG